ACACACACAAAUCUUUACAUGGGAUAAAUGAUUAACUUGAAACAUGUGUGUAAAACAAAAAGAGCAAACAGUAUAAGAAAGGUUUUUAUCUAUUUUACUCUCUUUAGGAUUAAACGAAAGAUCAGCCUCUUUUUAUGCUUGAAUAGUUGCAUAGGUUCAUAGUCAGUAUAAUGGCUAACGAGGUUGGUUCUGUUUCUCUGAACUUGAGCUUUAUCUUAACAAGCAACUAAUAUGGCACAGGAACAUAGGAAGUGAGUCCAAUAUAGGUUAAACAUGAUAGCAGAAAGGCCAAUCGGUCAGCUGAUUGGCUCUCUAAAGAGUCCUUUACCUCGUUAUCUAAGGUAAUCAGCAUCUAAUUUUUUCAAUCACGACCCUUGUAGAAUUGAUGUUAGCUCAAUUUUGUAUCAGACCUUCUUAAUAAUAUUAGAAAGGCUCUGCCUUUCCUAGCAAAAAAGAAAAAAAGGCUCAUAAAAAAUAAGUGAGGGAUAAGAACUAUCUCGUGUUUCACAUUUACAUGUCCUGUUUGGAUAUGACAGCUAAUUGAAGCAAAAAAUUUACAGUUAGAAGCUCUUGUACUCAUGAGGUUAGUAGAGGCUUUCAGAUAAAAUGGAAUCGUGAUUGCCGAAGUUCUAAUCAAACCACAUUUUUAGGUCUUCUUUCUAGUCUUUCCUUUUUCAUAUAGAACAUCUAGAAAUUUGAUUUACCUCUGAUUUGAUUGCACAAAAAUGUAUAAAAUCUACUGGCUACCGUUAGCUCGGUUGGUCGGUACGUUCCUCUUCGAUUUAGAAGUCGCAGGUUGAAAUCUGAAUGUACGAGGACCCGGGCGUGUAUUUAGUUCCACAUUGGCACUGGAUACAUCUUGAGUACUUAUAUAAGGCUAAAGAACCUAAAUAAUGCCUUUCGGAUGGCCUUUUUGAUUGAGAUUUUAGGUCGUUACAAAUUGUAUCAGAGUGUACCCAACUCAUGACUUACAUAGACUUGAGAACACUGAUGCACAAGCCUAUUAGCAUUGGCCAUAGGCUGAUUGUAGUGCUUGUGAUUAGAUUUGAAUAGAUUUGAAUUCUUAGCCUGACAAGAACAUCAUGAUUUAAAAAGAAAGAGUAUGUGAGAACCCAUGCGAGCGUUUGUUUAGUCACACAUUGGCUAUGAACUAAGUAGAUUUUGGAUAUUUAUAUAAGAUCAAGAAAUCUAAAUAAUAUC
rnacentral:lncRNA from 1 species